CUCUUCUGUAUUCCCUGGCUUAACUGGUGCCUUGAUACAUCUGCAAUUUUCAGAUAAGGACACUGGUGGAGUAGAUUCACCUAGGAGUGGUGUAAUCAUUGAGCUUACUACGUCCUCUCACUCACUUCCUCCUUUGCCAGGUUUUAUACACGAAUUCUGCAUUUUGCCAGAAGUUGAAGAUCUUUCUAAUACUCUGUACUCAAGAGGAAGGCAGAGCUUUCUAUGUGGAGUGACUGAAACAAUUUCGUCCAAAUGUUUGUUGCCACGGGCAAAAUAUCUAAAGAUUGUUCACUUGAAAAUUAUGACUCUUUUUCAGAAUUUUACAUCGUGUUAUUUGUUUUAUGGACUAUUCAGUAUGCAUUGCACCAACACUAAUUACUGCACUAAUAAGUCAGCGUGCUACCAAGAUGUUUUGCCAUUAUAAUUACAGCCACAUGUUGUUGUCCUUCCUCAAAUAGUCCAGGCUUAAUUGCAUCAUUUUUCAGGAGAAUUUAUGUGGUACAGCUUAAUUCAAAAUUACUACAUGAAUAAAUGAAGUGUAAACUAUUUUUUGUACUGACUC
rnacentral:lncRNA from 13 species